rnacentral:lncRNA from 1 species
AGAUAAAGAGGAAGGGGUGGAGCUAGAACUGGACACCUCGGGGGUUUCCUGCUUUAUGGCGAAGGACGGAGUUUUGCUCUUGUUGCCCAAGCUGGAGUGCAAUGGUGCGAUCUUCGCUUACUGCAACCUCUGCUUCCUGGGUUCAAGUGAUUCCCCUGCCUCAGCCUCCCGAGUAGCAGGGAUUACAGACACAUAUACUCACAGAAAUGAGUUAUUUAAAGAAGACGGUCCAGAUUCCACAGUCCAAAAAAAAAAGAGGUUUGCCCUGCUUCUGAAGGAGUCAGGGUAUGAAUGCAGAGGUCUUCCUGUUGGCUCACAUAUCAGAUCUUCAACGUCAACAUUAAAUGCUGAAAGAACAUCAGUGUAUCAGCACAGCAAAUAUUCCAAAUGCCAGGCUGGAUUCCCUCCAAUUACCAGGACCUCCAGGCUUCUCCUCCUUUCAAGAACUUUCUGACCCUGGAUCCAGUCUAAAUGUUGGUUAUAAACUCACCUGACAUCCACAGGGCCCUUCCAAAAUACUGUCAAGGCUGACUGCUGGUGCCUGGAACCUGCACACCCUCCUGGGACUCUGCAUCUCUGCUGGGGCUGGUUUCUCCUCUGAGCCACCUUAAGGAAUCCCACCCUGACCCGGUCAGAGCUCACCAUGCCUCCCUCUCCUACUUGCUCAGCAUUUUGUGUCUAUCUAGACUGAAGCCUUUGCUUUCUCUCUGUGAUUAUGGUGAAAGUUCAGUUUGCUUUCCUAUCUCUAGAAUGUCAGCACGAAGGCAGAGGCAUGGUCUCCUGAGUUCCAUAACCCCAAAGCCUAACUCCCUGCCUGCCACACUGAGGGGCUUAGUAGACAUUGACUUACUAAAUUGAAUAGUUGAGUAAUAAUGCUCUUUGAAAUAAUUUGGAGUUAGAUCUUGAGCCUUGUGUGGCCAGAGGAUGGGUGAGGACACAUCAUAAAAACUAAAGGUAACUGAGCAUGCCAGUGGUUGGGGUGAGAAAUUUGCAUGGAGCACUCCAGACACAGAGGCAGCAAAACCCAAGUGCUGGGAAGUCAGAGUGAGAGAGUGAAGGGGCAGUGAGUGCUUCUUUAGGAGCUGGAUCAAAACCUAAGAUGAUCUGGCCACAUGGUGCAGACUGAGCACACACUUGGGAGAGAAAUGGGCCAGGAGGAGAGGAGAGAGGUUCACCACAGGACAGUGGAUGACUGGGAAUAGAAGCCCUCCCCAUGGUGGACCAAGAAGUCUGUGAAGCUGAGAGAAAGACAAAAGAAAUCACGACUUCUGUAGGUAGCUGGGAUGGAAACCUCAGGGGUGACAGGGUCUUUAAAGGAAAUCUCAAGGAAGGCAUCAUGUUCUGGGUGUGCUCCAGGGAUGCUGAGUAAGAAAAGACCAGCCUUUCUGUGUGUGUCUUUACUCUGCCACAAGGCACCUGGGCUCCUAAAUGACCAAUACACAUGUGCUAUACUGGUGCCAAGAAAGAAGGGUGUUUUGUAGGAAAGUCAAGGUGAGAGGAGGUGCCCAGGACUUGGCUCCUUUCUUUGAAGGGUGACGGUGUAAAUUCUCCAUGCUGGGGAUCCUACUGAUGGAUGGAGGCAUGUCGAUCUCAUCAUUUCACAGAGUGGGGAGCUAUGGCCACAACGUGCCUAUCACACAAGUCCAGCCUCACGUCAGCUGGACACCAGCUGUUCUGACACUUGUCAGCACAUGGGGCACCCGGAAGUUCAUGGUGUUCUGCAAAGAACGCCACAAAACAGUGAGCUCAACUUCUUGAAAGUCAUAAUGUGUUGCUAAGUCCGAUCCCAGAUCCUAAAAAUAAUAUGAGGUAGUGGCCAUUGAACAGAAAAAAUUUACAUCUUAAACUUGAAGAUAAGUACAAGUGUACCUUUUUCUACCACUGUUGUUCAGUUUUAUUAUAUUGACAAGCACCUCUGCCCACCCUGUGGGGUAAAACUGUUUGAAAGUGUUUAUGAAAGUUUUAUAUAAAUAUUGGUUGAUCAAAUGUACAAAAUAUGCAUGAUGGCACCAUAUUGUGUAUAAUAGUGACAAAUACAGUCUAUGUGGGUGGAGAAACAAGCUCGGUGUUGUGCAUGCGGCUGUGGUUUGUGUUCACACUUCUCCUUUAGAGUGUAGUAGACAGAACAUGCCUGAACUGCCUGGGGCUGAGGGGUCUCAGGCGCAGAGUGGCCCAGGAAUUCUGAGCAAGGACAGAAUGUUAGAGAGAAUAUCCUGAGCUGAGCAGAGAGGCCUGCCCAUGCUAGCUGGCAGCCACCUGCCUUCAGUGCUUCAUUCUUGGGGGACCUUGAGGCCAGUUCUUGAGUGGAUGAGUCCUGCCGCUACUGCUGCUGCCCACUUGGUAGCUCUGUCCUCAUCUGGGAAGAGCCACUGUGAACCCCAGAGACCUAGUGGUGCUAGGGGCUGAUGCAGGCAAAUGACUGGCUGCCCCUGGAUCUUAUGUGAAAACAAGAAUGCUGGACCAAAAGGUCUCUACAGGGCUCCAUGACUACCCAUGACCCGUAACUUCAGUGAGGAGCUAGUGGCCAGGAGGGGCUCAUGGUUGGACACUGGUAUUCCUCUACUCAGACCUUAAACCACAGGUUGCAAGAACAGGGAGGUCACAUGUCAGUGACCUCAUGCCUAAAUAGAUGCAUAGCACAGAGCAGAUUCCUGGAUAGCUUACACCCUACUUUCCCCAGUGCAUCGAUUAUGACUUCCUUUCUAGCAACUGUGAGUACAGCCGGGACUCAUCAAUCACACCUGUAACUUCCCAGCUGCAUUUCUCAGGGUCUCUGAAAGCAGGGCCUUCUCUGGUCUUUUUAAAUUACCCACAGACCUAGGACAGUCUUCUGCACAUACUUCUACAUUUUAAAGGCUUACUUUUAGUAUGUUUAUGUGUGUGAGAUGGGGAAUAUUGUAUUCAUGUGUGCAUGUAUAUGUCUGUGAGUACUGUGGUCUGUGUGUGUAACUGGGUAUGACUGUGUGUGUCAUAUGGAUACAGGGGACUAGAAUGAGGACAGCCAGGUGUCCAGGCUAUAAGAUCUAAGGAGGCACUUGCUCUCAGGGCCAACCCUGCCCUUGCGUGAGCCUGAGAGAGAGAGCCUCCUGGAAUUUUGCACCUUGAGUGCCUUCCUGCUUCACCCUAAUCCCCCCGGUUGUCUGUAUGUUUGGAUGUGAGUGUUGUACAUAUGCUGUGUAUGUGUGUGCAUGCAUGUGAGUGUGCAUGGGUGUGUGUCUGUAUGUCUCAGCAGCUGUCACUGGGCUUCCCAGUCCCUGUCAGCAGGCGAAGGAGGCCCCUUCAUUUCCUUGGGUCCUGCUUAUGCAGCACAGGCCACAGCAAAGGCUCCCUGGGUUGGGUCAGCCCUCACUCUAACUCAACAUGCCCUGGAAGUCACCACAGGGUCAUGGAAAGAGUCCUGGUGAUGAGAUGGAGUGUCUGCUCUGCCACAAGGGCUGUGGGACCAGGGUCGGGGCAUACCUCUCUGGGUCUCAGUUUCCUCACUGGUAAGAUGUGGCAACAGAAUCUCAUCUGUGAGCCCCCUCUAGCCUUGAACAACUCUGGAUCCAGGUAGACCAGCAUAAUGAAAGCCUAUGAAGCUUCUGAGAUGUGCGAGGCAUACAUUGUCCCAGGUACUCAAGUAACUCAAGUCUGGAAGCUGCGAGCCACAGAGAUCAAGCCUUCUCCAAAAAUUGGACUGCAAGGCAUGCCGUACAAACAGAGUGCUAGGAGACCUUGGGGAGGUGGGGAAGAGGAAGAGGAAUCAUGGACAGCUUCAUGGGGAGGUGGCUUUGGAGCUGGGAUGGGUGAGGACAGCUGGAAUGUGGGCAGCACGUGACCAAGUGCUUUGCAGACAUGGCAUGGCCCCCAGCCAGGCCCUGAGGAAAGGAGAGUCUCAGGACAGCAGCUAUGUCACUGUAAGCAGGACCCUUGAAAGCAGGUGCCACCUGCAAAAGGGGGAGCCCUGAGGCCCAGGCAGGCCUGUCACAGUGUGGGGCACCUGUCUAGACAGCCCCAUGGCCAGCAGUGGGGGUGGGCCAUGGGCCAUGGGGACCUUCCUGGUAUGGGGUACUGCCAUGUCCCCAGGGAAUAUGGGGGGCCCAGGAAGGUCCCCAAGGCUCGAAGGACCCAGGUCUUUUCAUACUGCCAAAGAGAUGUAAGGCCUACAGAGGGGAAAGUUUGCAUAUCUGUGAAGGCAUGGAGCCUAGGCAUUGGAAGUGUCCAGUAAGCAUUUUCAUUUGGCAGAAGUAUCUCCAUGGCACUUCUACCUACAGCCCUGCCACAUUUUGCCACAAACUGUCCAGCAGCCCUGAGAUGGAGCCCCAGUGUAGACCGUCAUGGAGCACACUGGCUCUGGAACAAUGAGGAGCAGACUGGAGAAAGCCAGAUGGGGUUUACCUGUCAACAGCCACAACAUAGUUGUGCUGGGGUGACUGUUCAAGAAAAAUGAACUUUGGUGCUCCUGCCGAAUGGGUUGUUAGUGUUCAGUCCUUUUCCUACCACUGAGUUGUUUUGUCUGAUCAUUCUUCCUCCUGGUUCUGCGGGUCUGCCUUCUUGAAAGGGAAGAGCAAGACUCCAGCUCCCUGCCCUGUAGAGGUGCCUUCUACCUUGCUCAGUGUUGAAGCAAAGGAGCAAAGCAAAGCUUAAGUCAGAGAUUUGGUGCUCAGCUAAUCACAGAGACUUUUAAAUGUCAACCAGGGUUUGCUAUCAGGCCAAAGCUGGAUUAUUAUUACCCAAAGUAGAAAAUUGUGAGACAGAGGCAGGUGGGGAGGGAGGGAGAGAGAAGAAAGCAGAAGGUGGAGGAUACGUGGAUUUAAUUUUUUAAAAAUAAAUAUAUGAUUCCGUGUCAAUUAAAAACAAGUACCCCAGGCAAGUCUUCCUGCAGUCCUGUCUUAGCCGCACACACAGCAUAACUGCAAACCCACUUGAGCUCAUUUUUGCUCAAAGACCAACUCUAUUAAACCCUUAGAAUGUUCUGGAUUUCAACACACAGUCCACAGACAGCCAUUCUAUCAAAAGCUUAGUGUUUUCCCUAUGACUGGGUUUUCUGGUAAGGUGAACUAAGGCAUCCUUUUCCAUUUCAGGCUGUGGUAACAGCAGAUAACAGCCGCAGAGGUCAUAGCCAGCACUUUCUAUGCGUCCCUUCAUUUAAUCCCAGUACUCCUAGGUGGUAGAUCUAUUAUUUUGUCCACAUGAAUUAUUGAAAAGUCUGUCCUAAAUUUUAAAUGGAACGAAGUACUGGGUUGCAAGUUACUGGUGGCUGUUUCACAGGAAAUACUACGACAAUGGGACUUUGGGAAUGUGUUCUGGAGACUCCACUCCUUGGUGACUACUACAUGGAGCACAGAAAAUUGUCUUGAGUGGCAGCUAUGUGCCAGGUGAGGAGACAGGUUUUACUCACAUGACUCCCCAGAAGCCCUGCAGCAUCCCCAUAUUUUAUAAAGGGGAAGUACAAGCCCAGAGAGACAUCUGACUUGACUAAGUUCACACAAAAACAGCAAGGUCUGGGCCAAGAUGGAAGCCCGGGCUUUGCCUUCUUCUUCUGCCUGCAGGGCAGGGGCUUUCAUCCUGGCUUCACGCUGAUUUCAAAAGCCUCUCAUUCUCUUGACACCUCAUGGCCCCUGAGUUUAUCCCAAGAAUAAUAAGUUCUACUGUCCUCCUGGAGAUGCCGAAGAAUCAAAACUGCAACACACAGAGGGCCUGGGUGUGCGCGAACACUGUAGUACACACCGAUGACAGCAGAUUAAGCCAUUUCUCUCUUAGGUGCGUCACCCAACCAGCUCCUGGACCCUUCUGCUGUGCUGCCCUGACAGUCACAAUAUGUCCUAGUGGACUAAUUAGCACUAACUACCCAUGUCACCCCAAGGCCAUUUAAGAAGACAAAUAAAAAAGACAAAACCAAUGAGUAUUGUGGCUGAAGAUGACGAAAAAAAGUUAAAAGCAGGGAGGAAUGAAUUAUUUUUUCUUUCUCAAUCUCUCCCUCUGCUUAAACCAAAGAGAGGUUUUCAUCUGAGAGCCCGGGAGCUAAGCAGCUACUUUCUACAUGAAAAAGUGAAAACAUUAAAAUAAAAUCCCUUUCUUUCAAGCUAACGUUCUAAAACUGAACCUCUGCAGAGGCUCCAAAAGAGAAAUGCCUUGCUUUUAAGCCCCUGAGUGAGAGGGAUCCUGAGGAAGUGGCAGAGGGGAUGAACCUAAGCUUUGGGACAUAACAACCGGCACCUCCAGUGGCCACCACUCCUAGCUAUGCUGCCUGUGGAUGGGGCCCCCAGUGCUGGCCCCUAACAGCAUGGGGAAGCCUCCCCAGCCACUCUGAAGCUGUUCGCAUCACAUCCAAGAUGAACCUAGGCAGGGAGGCUGAGUGUGCUUGGGAGAUGCCAAGUUAGGGAAGUAAGUUCCCCAGGGUCCUUCAACUUGUGGUGCCUGAGGAUAGCUGCUUUUUUUCCAGUGCAGAUGGAGACACGGCAGCCUUGGGGGGAUGUGUGAAAGUAAGGCCUCCCUCCCUCUGCCUUUCCAAGUGGCUGAUCAUCUCCUUCCUUCUCAUAGCUACUUCUAGGAGAGGCAUCCAGGCAGGAACCACUUCUCCAUUUCACAGAUGGGAAGACUGAGAACCAUACUGGAAAGGGGUGUAUUUUAAUUAAACUGGAGAGUGGGGAACACUGAUGAGGAAAGCAAGCUGAUAGACGGAAGGCUCUGCCUGUCACUGCCAGCACGGGCACUUGGGCCUUCUUAUCAAGGGUUCUGAUGGGAGUUUCCACUAGGAUUCCAGGUGUCGAUCAUCUAGUAGCCGAGUUCUGAUGAGCUGGACUUUGGGUGGUUGAGGUAGGGAGCAGUGGAAAGGGGAAUUGGAGUCUUAUCAACCUCUUUGAACACCAGUUCCUUCCCCUCUCUUCUAUAAAAAUGUCGUAGCAAUACCUGCCUGGCAGAGUUGUGAGAAUUAAAUGAGAUGAUGAAUACAUCUGCUCUCAGCACCACACCACACCUGUGGCAGUCCUCAGAGAGAAGAAUCACAGCUUUCAUUCAUUGAGAGCUCACUAAGUGCCAGGUAUGCUCAGCUCUUGUGCAGACGUUCUUUUUCUUUGGAUGUAAAUGUGACAUGGGCAGAGCAGGAGGAGCUGUGAGGCUGGCUUGGCUGAGCCACAGGGAUUGCUGGCAUCUUAUAUGGCAUUCAGGACUAUGGAGGGUCCACGGGAAGAAACACAGAAACAGAACCCAAGUAUCCUUCGGGGACUCUUGGACUUUCUUCCCCUUGAUCUUAGACAUGCCUCAGUAAACAGAUGCUGGUUUCUAUCGAGACUCAUUCCUGGGGAAGGACCCCCACCAGCCAAGCAAGGUAAAGCCCAGACUCAGUUACAUGAAUUACAGGUUUAAGACAGAAGCCUUCCUAUGAAUAUUUUUCUGGCCAGUGGCUUAUAUAAGAGAAAUUUGCUCAUUGUAUUUCUAUCUGGCCAACGAAGGGGUCUAGAGGGGCUUUCAGCAACCCAAACAGUCUUGUCAGCCCUAACUCUGGACCUAAGGAAAUAAUUAUGAAUCCUCAAGAUCCAUUUAAAAGUGUCAUUACUGUAGAUAAACAAAGACGAGUGGAUGCUUCUUCCUACUCCACCUCACUGCAGAGAUUCCAUCCAUCCCAGGGUCACUGACCACUGACUGGAUGAACUAGGAUUGGUGUGGCAGAGUGGAGUUUUCAGGAGCCAAGAGACUCCUGGAUUGUCAUGCUCUGUACUCCUUCCCCACGAAAGGAAUGUCUAGAACUCCUGCUGAAAGUAGUCAUUGCCUGCAUUUCCUAGGCAGAAUGUGUUAGCUCCCUCCCCAGAAGAACCUGGGCGAAGAAGGUGUUCCAAUCUGCAUUUGGAAAGAAUCCCUCCCGCAAAGAACUCUACACCCUCUAAGAGAAGAUAACGUGAGGGCAUAUUCUCCUCUCUUAGAGGGUGUUUUCAAUACUAAAUUCUAUCUCUGAAGAGAAUGAGGACCCGAAGGGGGGCAGUGCACCA